UGCACUUUCAGAAACAAAACAGCAAGAGCAGCAAGCAUAUCCACCUCCAUCACAACAACUCUCCAGUCUUGGAGGCAAGCAGGAGCAGUUUUUCUAGAGCACCCGUUUGGGGAAAUUACGUGAGGAGUACGGCGUCUGUGCCAGGCUACCUUGUUUUCACCAUCUUUUUACGAGGUUUUCUUCCUGUUAUGUCAGGUUUUCUUCCUGUUAUGUCCUUUUUGAUCUUUUGAUCAACCCCACCCUUUUGUAUUCCCGCCUUGCUUCCUGCUAUCUAAAUAUAUGCCAGCCAGCAGCUGGAUCUUUCAAAAAAAAAA
rnacentral:lncRNA from 1 species